rnacentral:rRNA from 1 species
GCGAGAAGCAUCUUUCGGGAUGUGGGCAGCGGCGGACGGGUGAGUAAUGCGUGGGUAUAUGCCCUUUGGUACGGAAUAGCCCUUGGAAACGAGGAGUAAUACCGUAUGUGCCCUACGGGGGAAAGAUUUAUCGCCAAAGGAUUAGCCCACGUUGGAUUAGCUAGUUGGUGAGGUAAAGGCUCACCAAGGCGACGAUCUAUAGCUGGUUUGAGAGGAUGAUCAGCCACACUGGGACUGAGACACGGCCCAGACUCCUACGGGAGGCAGCAGUGGGGAAUACUAGACAAUGGGCGCAAGCCUGAUCUAGCCAUGCCGCGUGAGUGAAGAAGGCCCUAGGGUUGUAAAGCUCUUUCAGAUGUGAGGAUGAUGACAGUAACAUCAGAAGAAGCCCCGGCUAACUUCGUGCCAGCAGCCGCGGUAAUACGAAGGGGGCUAGCGUUGUUCGGAAUUACUGGGCGUAAAGGGCGCGUAGGCGGACUGGUCAGUUUGGUGUGAAAGCCCGGGGCUCAACCUCGGAACUGCAUUAAAUACUGCCAGUCUAGAAUCCCGGAGGGGAGUGUGGAAUUUCUAGUGUAGAGGUGAAAUUCGUAGAUAUUAGAAAGAACACCGGUGGCGAAGGCGACACUCUGGACGGGUAUUGACGCUGAGGCGCGAAAGCGUGGGGAGCAAACAGGAUUAGAUACCCUGGUAGUCCACGCCGUAAACGAUGUCUGCUAGCCGUCGGGGCACUUGGUGUUUCGGUGGCGCCGCUAACGCAUUAAGCAGACCGCCUGGGGAGUACGGUCGCAAGAUUAAAACUUAAAGGAAUUGACGGGGGCCCGCACAAGCAGUGGAGCAUGUGGUUUAAUUCGAAGCAACGCGCAGAACCUUACCAGCCCUUGACAUCCCGUGCCACAACCAGAGAUGGUUGGUUCCCUUCGG